GACGAACGCUGGCGGCGUGCUUAACACAUGCAAGUCGAACGGAAAGGCCCUGCUGUUGUGGGGUUCUCGGGUGGGGAACGGGUGAGUAACACGUGAGUAACCUGCCCUUUACUUUGGGGUAACUUCUGGAAACUGGGGCUACUACCGCCUAGGAGCUCCUGCUGCCCGGUGGGGGUUGGAAAGUUGCGGCGGUUGGGGAUGGACUCGCGGCUUAUCAGCUUGUUGGGGGGGUAGUGGUUUACCAAGGGUUUGCGGGGUAGGCGGCCUGGGAGGGUGACCGGCGACAUUGCGACUGCGAGACGGCCCAGACUCCUACGGGAGGCAGCAGUGGGGAAUAUUGCACAAUGGGCGGAAGCCUGAGGCAGCAACGCCGCGUGCGGGAUGACGGCCUUCGGGUGGUAAACCGCGUUCGCCUGUGACGAAGCGUGAGUGACGGUAAUGGGUAAAGAAGCACCGGCUAACUACGUG
rnacentral:rRNA from 1 species